AAGAGAUCGGGAUAACACCUGGAAACAAGAUGCUAAUACCGGAUAACAACAGAUGAUGCCUAUCAACUGUUUAAAAGAUGGUUCUGCUAUCACUCUUGGAUGGACCUGCGGUGCAUUAGCUAGUUGGUAGGGUAACGGCCUACCAAGGCGAUGAUGCAUAGCCGAGUUGAGAGACUGAUCGGCCACAUUGGGACUGAGACACGGCCCAAACUCCUACGGGAGGCAGCAGUG
rnacentral:rRNA from 1 species